GAUGAACGCUGGCGGCGUGCCUAAUACAUGCAAGUCGAGCGAACGGACGAGAAGCUUGCUUCUCUGAUGUUAGCGGCGGACGGGUGAGUAACACGUGGAUAACCUACCUAUAAGACUGGGAUAACUUCGGGAAACCGGAGCUAAUACCGGAUAAUAUUUUGAACCGCAUGGUUCAAAAGUGAAAGACGGUCUUGCUGUCACUUAUAGAUGGAUCCGCGCUGCAUUAGCUAGUUGGUAAGGUAACGGCUUACCAAGGCAACGAUGCAUAGCCGACCUGAAAGGGUGAUCGGCCACACUGGAACUGAGACACGGUCCAGACUCCUACGGGAGGCAGCAGUAGGGAAUCUUCCGCAAUGGGCGAAAGCCUGACGGAGCAACGCCGCGUGAGUGAUGAAGGUCUUCGGAUCGUAAAACUCUGUUAUUAGGGAAGAACAUAUGUGUAAGUAACUGUGCACAUCUUGACGGUACCUAAUCAGAAAGCCACGGCUAACUACGUG
rnacentral:rRNA from 1 species